rnacentral:rRNA from 1 species
UACGUAGGGUGCAAGCGUUGUCCGGAAUUAUUGGGCGUAAAGAGCUCGUAGGCGGUCAGUCGCGUCUGCUGUGAAAACUCGGCGUACUUACCCGGGCUGCAGUGGGUACGGGCUGACUAGAGUGCGGUAGGGGAGACUGGAAUUCCUGGUGUAGCGGUGAAAUGCGCAGAUAUCAGGAGGAACACCGGUGGCGAAGGCGGGUCUCUGGGCCGUAACUGACGCUGGAGGAGCGAAAGCAUGGGUAGCGAACAGG